rnacentral:sRNA from 1 species
ACGCCGUAUAGGUGAGUCUGAUCAUAAAAAGAAUAUUAAACUAUCAGGAACUGCUGCAAGAGAAAAAAUGGGCUCAAAACAAAACCCCCCAAGAGAUCAAGACUUUCAUCGUAAAGCAAACCCAAAAAGAACCUCCAUGUCAACCCAUUGCCGGCCACAUUUCUUCAAAUACGCGUCCACAACCCCCUUUAAGGUCCCAAAACGUGACCGGUUCCACUCGACCAUCGCGAUAACCUUGUCCCGCUUCUCUGUAUUAGUUUCCUUUGCAGCAGCCUCUUUUGCCUUGUCUACAUCCCAC